rnacentral:rRNA from 1 species
UACGUAGGGGGCUAGCGUUGUCCGGAUUUAUUGGGCGUAAAGAGCGCGUAGGCGGCCGAGUAAGUCCGACGUGAAAUCUGGAGGCUCAACCUCCAGCGGUCGUUGGAAACUACUCGGCUAGAGUCCGGAAGAGGAGAGUGGAAUUCCUGGUGUAGCGGUGAAAUGCGCAGAUAUCAGGAAGAACACCGAUGGCGAAGGCAGCUCUCUGGGACGGUACUGACGCUGAGACGCGAAAGCGUGGGGAGCGAACAGG